GUGGUCUUUGGCAGCACACACCACCAAAUUGGAAUCACACUGAGAAGAGGAGCAUGGCCCCUGCGCCAGGGUGACAGUCUGUCCCCCUGUGUCCCCACAGGAUUUC
ensembl:snRNA U6 U6 spliceosomal RNA